CGCCGCGUCAGUGUGCCGGGUCCUGAGCUAGGAAGACUCGGCCGGAAGGGCCGCGCUUUCGGACGAGCGAGCCGCCGCCGCCGCACUCGGCCUAGAUUGAAAACCACCGCGCUAGGUGAUGCGAAGGAGGAAGUGCCACCGCAACCAGGCCGCAAAUCCCAGAGUGCUUUCCGCCGACCCCGGCGCGGCCGGGCGCGGUCUCAGCUUCGUUCACGCCUUCGCGGGGUCAGGCGCCUCUCCGGGCCCCAGGGUGUUCCUAACCCGUUCUUGCAGGACCUGCUCUUUCCGGCUCUGGCUCCCCCGGAUCCCGUCGUGCUCCUGCCCUUUCCCGCUGGACCGUGAGCGGCCUGGGCGUGCUGUCGGCCGGCUUCCGGCGGUGAGAUCCAAAUCGCAGCGGCUCCGAGCGUCCGCACCCCUGCGGCCGGCGCUCCCAGGCCCUGGCUCCAGGACCGCGCCGGCCCGUGGACAGGCGUCCGCACUGCUGCCUCCGCGGCCUAGAGACAGAGGCCGCGCCUGCCAAUCCUUGAGUAGUAGUUCUUUACAUCCCUUGCGUUUGAAAAUAGGCUCGGUAUUACUAAAGGAACCCUUUAAGGAUGAUUGAAUAAAAGGUUUGCAGCCUAACGA